AUUUGCAAGGGGUUUAUUUGCCAGAGAGAGAUGAUUACAUCUAGGCACCAUUUAACAUAAUUUCGUGGAUCCCAAACAUGCUAAUGGUCGAUUAAUUGAAGGAGAUCUGACGUCCCCACUUCAUAGUCCCUUAUUCAUGAGUUCCAGUAGGAGAUGAUGGAUACCUCUGGGACCCUGUUCAUAUAUAUACAGCGCGGGGAACAGCAGCUCCGAAUGGUUUCAGGAUCAGGACCAGCCAGCACUGAACGCUGACAUAUGUCGAAUGAAGUUUAAUAAUAAUAAAAAAACGGAUUUUCUCAUCAGAAUUCGAGCCCAGCCACGUCCUCUCACACAGUUAGCAUUGCUUUGAAACCCUGCCAUAUGCUGUUUAUUUGAGUCGAUUUUAGAUCCCAAACCUACCAUUUUCACAUUGGGUGCGAAUAACGUGGGCUUGUUUUUAGGUAUUGGGCUGUGAAAUCAGUUAUACUUGUAAUGGACCACCGGAGAGAUUAUCUGACCAGGAUGAAACCAAACCCCUUCCAUGCUAGAUUACUGGUGUAUCGCCAAAGGGAUUACUUUGGUUUUUGGCGGGUUGGAUAGAGGGAAGUCUUGUCGAGGUAUUGGAAUGAUUUGUAAAUUGAGAUUUAGAAUUUCUGGUACCUAUCAUCGCGUCUGAAUGGAAAACGAGACUCAUUUUAGUUAUGCUGGAGUUUUAUAACGGGGUGAAGUUGAACUCGCAUUACUUAUGUGCGAUGCCUUUCCAUUUACUUGACCAGACCAUAAAUGUGCCUUGCGUUCCAAAUGGCAAAGGAUAUAUUCAAGUCGGUUAUUUUCACAUGCGAAUUUAUUUAGCCAAUAACCCUCAGAUAUUGCGCUUAAGUCGAAAUUGACUGGCUUUGUAAGCCAUUUGUCAGACUGGAUGCUGGAUGCAUUAUUUAUUUACUGAUGUGCGGAUUGCAAAUUCCAGAGCAAAAUCUUAAACUGCGCUCGGAAUGGGGGAAACAAAAUAGAAACAGAAUUGGCGUUUCUUGCAAUUGCGUGGUUUCUUUACCAGAGAACUAUGAUAGCCAUGUGCCAACAGGUAAAUACUGUGUGUCUAUUCACACUAAUACUGCAGUAUUUGCUCACGUCUGUUUUACGACACCUAAAAUCAACCAGACAGACUACUAAUUAACACGGAGCUGACUCCAAAUCUGAAGCCCUAGAGGACCACUGUGCUCACUGCCAGCUGCUAUGUCCCGCUCUUCACAUCCAACCGAAGCUUCCCAGAUCUGAGACUUGACUGCCCGUCCGACGUUGCCAAUCAAACAAAUCAGAGGUUGUGCGGAAAUUCGCCGCGUCUUCCCUGCGGUUGCUGCCGUUAACGGUAUAGCAAACGGCACGCUUGGUGGUUUCAACUGAACUCCGAAUCUUCAGACGUACUGGGCGACAUGUGAGCAGAAGCUGUCCUGCUCUAGCCCUUUAUUAGAUAUGGGCCAAUAUGCAACAGAGCCGCUUUAGUUUGGGAGGCGCCAGUCAUGUCGAACUAUUGCCACCUGGAGGCCAGAUUCGCUCACAAAUUCAAACAAUUUCUUCAUCGUCAUUCUUCUGAACACUUCUUCAUUUUCAGGAAAGCAGCAGUCUCGAUUUGCAAAUGUAACUGUGCACCAUGCUAUUGCACCAAGGCUUUAUGAUUUAUCAUUGUAUUUUAUAUUGUAUUACAUAUUUUAAUAUUAUCUCAUUGCUUUUGUAUUCUAGUCCUUCAGAAACAAAUUUGAGUACUUUGUUGCUGUUCUUUGAUGGCUUUAUCAAUUUGCGAUUUAGUUUUUAGUGAUUUAUGUAGCUGUACUGCUAAAUCUCAUAAACUGUAUUUAAUAUCUUGCCUUCCAGGAAAUAGAUAAUCUAUUCCUCCAAACAGAGUGAACCUUCCUCUUCUUAGGCUAUUUCUUGGGAUCAAGAAUGACUUGUUUCCAUUCUAGUUGGAUGAGUCUUGAGAUAGCUGAUAAGUCCAAUAGGUGAUCUACAGACUCUGAUACUUUUUGAUGGCCCCCUGGGAAUCCAAGUAGAAUGAAAUCGCUGUAUUCCCUAUGUUCCCGUUUCCUGUUAUUUCUUCAAAGAAUUAAUUGAGGCUGCUUAAACAUUAGUCUUCUGUUAGAAAUUCAUGCUGACAUUCCUAUUUUAAUACACCUAUUAUAUCCACCUGGUUACUUUGUUCUUUGACCUUUCAACAAAAAAAUCUUAUUUAUCACAAUUACUAAUUCCCUUGGAUGUAGACUGAACAAUAAGAUCUUGAUGAAGUGAUCCAUCAUUGGAAAAGGGGUCUGGCAGGUGUCCUGUUGAAUGUCACCACCUUGCCCUUGCUGCUGAUUUCUCUCCUUCCAUACACAUAGCCCCCAAACCAAGAACGCCCAUCAGUCCUGCCAUCAAUCACCUGGCCUUCUGUCGAUGUGAGGCCGUGUGUCAGUGUUGUAUCAGGAGCAACCCAUCUUCUUCCUUCCUUUUUCAGCAAUCCUUAGGGAUUGAGGAUGACAUUCUUCUAUUCUGGCACUGUGGGACUAAAUAGUCCAAUACCUGAUUCAUACACCCUGUCACAGGUGAUAUUUACUGAAACAGGUUUGUGGGAGGCUUCUGUUUCUACAUAUUCCUUACUUUGUACUUGGUAUUCAUCUUAGCCAGUUGGAGAUGCUCAACAUAUUCAAAACUGUUCCUCUUCUCCAACCUGGGUUUGGGCUAAAAGGUCCAUUGACUUGGUGGGGAUUAAUGCAUUUUCUCAGAUGCUUUGAAGUCACCUUUGAAGUAUUUACUGUCCCAUUCUCGUAAAUGCUUACCAUGACAAAUCUCCGAGCAGAGAGCUUGUUUUGAAAGUCUUGUGUUAGGCUGUGGUCCAUCCAACAUGGCUGAUUGACCAUAACCAGUGCCUUGGUACUGGUGAUGUUGACCUGAGUGAGAGCACUGUUAUUGGAGCAGUUAUCUUGCCAGCAGAUUUGUAGAAUUUCGCAGAGGCAUCUCCAGUGAUAUUUGCUAGGGUAUUUGUUCCAUAUUGUCCAUGCUUCUGAUGCAUACAAGGGGACUGGUUACACUGAUAUUCUGUAGACCAUGAGCUUGGUGUUGGGCUUGAGGUCUGUGUCAUGAAAUGCUCUGUCCUUCAGAUGGCCAAAGAGCAUGCUGACACACUGGAGACAGAAUUGAAUUACAUUGUCAAUAUCUUCUCUCAAUGGAAGGAGGCUCUCAAGGAAUGGCAAUUGAUUCACUUUGUCCAGUGGUUUGCCAUGGUUUUUAAUAAUUGGAGGGUAGUAUUGUGCAGUGCAAGCAGGCUGGCAGAUGUCCUUUGUCAUCCAGACAUUUCUCUCUAAACUCACUCUCUCAUUCCCUUUGUGAAUACAUAAGCAACCCACUAAUGCAUCGACGACAGAGGUUGAGGUGGCCUUUGUUCUGGUUUGGAAGCAAUGAAGACUGAACAGUUUCCUACUUGUUCAUUAGGGAUUACAGUAAGGAGUUUCAUUAAUACAGUUGGAGUGUUGUAGUAAAAGGAUGGAGUAAGAGUGUUGGUAGAUUUACACAGGCUUGCUUGACCCCAGUGUGCACGGGUAUCAGGUCUGCAGUGGAUUCAUUGGUGAUGUUUAUAAUAUGUACACACUUGGUAUAAUGAAAAACCCAUCUAGCUCACCGAUGUUCAUUUCAGGGAAGGAAAUCUGCCAUCCUUACCAGGUCUGGCCGAGAUGUGACUCCAGACCCACAGCA